AACGGGGAUUAUAUACUGCAAAAAAAUCGUGAAUGUCCGAGUGAUCAUGGCGGUAGCUGCAUGCCUUCUGGUAUGUUGCCGUGGCUCGAUGACGUCCAUCGCAGGGGUGAUGAGUUGAUA
rnacentral:sRNA from 1 species